CAAGUCGCGUGCGCAGUUGCCGUAGCAAUACGGUGAUGGGCGCACGGCGCACGGGUGCGUAACACGUGGGCAAUCUGCCCUCCGAUGGGGAAUAACCCCGCGAAAGCGGGGCUAAUACCGCAUAACAUUCCUUGAGCGAUGGUUCGAGGAUUCAAAGCAGUAAUGCGUCGGAGGAGGAGCCCGCGCCCGAUUAGCUAGUUGGUGAGGUAACGGCUCACCAAGGCAAUGAUCGGUAGCUGGUCUGAGUGGAUGAUCAGCCACACUGGAACUGAGACACGGUCCAGACUCCUACGGGAGGCAGCAGUGGGGAAUCUUGCACAAUGGGCGAAAGCCUGAUGCAGCGACGCCGCGUGGGGGAUGAAGCUUUUCGGAGUGUAAACCCCUUUCGCCUGGGACGAAUGCCCGCAAGGGAGUGACGGUACCAGGAUAAGAAGCCCCGGCUAACUACGUGCCAGCAGCCGCGGUAAGACGUAGGGGGCCAGCGUUGUUCGGAAUUACUGGGUGUAAAGGGUUCGUAGGCGGUGUGGCAAGUCGGGAGUGAAAUCUCUGGGCUCAACCCAGAGGCUGCUUCCGAAACUGCUGUGCUUGAGUGUGAGAGAGGCUCGUGGAAUUGCAGGUGUAGCGGUGAAAUGCGUAGAUAUCUGCAGGAACACCCGUGGCGAAAGCGGCGAGCUGGAUCACUACUGACGCUGAGGAACGAAAGCUAGGGGAGCAAACAGGAUUAGAUACCCUGGUAGUCCUAGCCCUAAACGAUCAGGACUUGGGGUGCCGCCCGUUCGGGCGUCGUCCCGGAGCUAACGCGUUAAGUCCUGCACCUGGGGAGUACGGUCGCAAGACUGAAACUCAAAGGAAUUGACGGGGGCCC
rnacentral:rRNA from 1 species